rnacentral:rRNA from 1 species
CCUACGGGAGGCAGCAGUGGGGAAUAUUGCACAAUGGGGGAAACCCUGAUGCAGCGACGCCGCGUGAGCGAAGAAGUAUCUCGGUAUGUAAAGCUCUAUUAGCAGGGAAGAAAAUGACGGUACGUGAGCACGAAGCUCCGGCUAAAUACGUGCCACCAGCCGAGGUAAUACGUCUGGAGCAACCGUUAUCCGGAUUUACUGGGCGUAAAGGGAGCGUAGGCGGGCUGCCAAGUCUGAUGUGAAAGACCGGGGUUCAACCCCGGGGCUGCAGUGGAAACUGGCAGGCUUGAGUGCCGGAGAGGCAGGCGGAAUGCCUAGUGUAGCGGUGAAAUGCGUAGAUAUUAGGAGGAACACCAGUGGCGAAGGCAGCCUGCUGGACGGUGACUGACGCUGAGGCUCGAAAGCGUGGGGAGCAAACAGGAUUAGAUACCCUAGUAGUC